UACGUAGGGGGCAAGCGUUGUCCGGAUUUAUUGGGCGUAAAGAGCGUGUAGGCGGCCAGAUAGGUCCGUUGUGAAAACUCGAGGCUCAACCUCGAGACGCCGAUGGAAACCAUUUGGCUAGAGUCCGGAAGAGGAGAGUGGAAUUCCUGGUGUAGCGGUGAAAUGCGCAGAUAUCAGGAAGAACACCCGUGGCGAAGGCGGCUCUCUGGGACGGUACUGACGCUGAGACGCGAAAGCGUGGGGAGCGAACAGG
rnacentral:rRNA from 1 species